rnacentral:rRNA from 1 species
GUGCAUGGGGCAGCUACCAUGCAGUCGAGCGGUAGCACAGAGAGCUUGCUCUCGGGUGACGAGCGGCGGACGGGUGAGUAAUGUCUGGGAAACUGCCUGAUGGAGGGGGAUAACUACUGGAAACGGUAGCUAAUACCGCAUAACGUCGCAAGACCAAAGUGGGGGACCUUCGGGCCUCAUGCCAUCAGAUGUGCCCAGAUGGGAUUAGCUAGUAGGUGGGGUAACGGCUCACCUAGGCGACGAUCCCUAGCUGGUCUGAGAGGAUGACCAGCCACACUGGAACUGAGACACGGUCCAGACUCCUACGGGAGGCAGCAGUGGGGAAUAUUGCACAAUGGGCGCAAGCCUGAUGCAGCCAUGCCGCGUGUAUGAAGAAGGCCUUCGGGUUGUAAAGUACUUUCAGCGGGGAGGAAGGCGAUAAGGUUAAUAACCUUGUCGAUUGACGUUACCCGCAGAAGAAGCACCGGCUAACUCCGUGCCAGCAGCCGCGGUAAUACGGAGGGUGCAAGCGUUAAUCGGAAUUACUGGGCGUAAAGCGCACGCAGGCGGUCUGUCAAGUCGGAUGUGAAAUCCCCGGGCUCAACCUGGGAACUGCAUUCGAAACUGGCAGGCUAGAGUCUUGUAGAGGGGGGUAGAAUUCCAGGUGUAGCGGUGAAAUGCGUAGAGAUCUGGAGGAAUACCGGUGGCGAAGGCGGCCCCCUGGACAAAGACUGACGCUCAGGUGCGAAAGCGUGGGGAGCAAACAGGAUUAGAUACCCUGGUAGUCCACGCCGUAAACGAUGUCGAUUUGGAGGUUGUGCCCUUGAGGCGUGGCUUCCGGAGCUAACGCGUUAAAUCGACCGCCUGGGGAGUACGGCCGCAAGGUUAAAACUCAAAUGAAUUGACGGGGGCCCGCACAAGCGGUGGAGCAUGUGGUUUAAUUCGAUGCAACGCGAAGAACCUUACCUGGUCUUGACAUCCACAGAACUUAGCAGAGAUGCUUUGGUGCCUUCGGGAACUGUGAGACAGGUGCUGCAUGGCUGUCGUCAGCUCGUGUUGUGAAAUGUUGGGUUAAGUCCCGCAACGAGCGCAACCCUUAUCCUUUGUUGCCAGCGGUUCGGCCGGGAACUCAAAGGAGACUGCCAGUGAUAAACUGGAGGAAGGUGGGGAUGACGUCAAGUCAUCAUGGCCCUUACGACCAGGGCUACACACGUGCUACAAUGGCAUAUACAAAGAGAAGCGACCUCGCGAGAGCAAGCGGACCUCAUAAAGUAUGUCGUAGUCCGGAUUGGAGUCUGCAACUCGACUCCAUGAAGUCGGAAUCGCUAGUAAUCGUAGAUCAGAAUGCUACGGUGAAUACGUUCCCGGGCCUUGUACACACCGCCCGUCACACCAUGGGAGUGGGUUGCAAAAGAAGUAGGUAGCUUAACCUUCGGGAGGGCGCUACCACUUUGAUAAGGGC